GCAGGGAUGGCGGAGUGGUUAAACGCGCCAGCUUGGAAAGCUGGUUCCUUCACGGGAGCGCGAGUUCGAAUCUCGUUCCCUGCG
rnacentral:tRNA from 1 species